UACGUAGGGUGCAAGCGUUGUCCGGAAUUAUUGGGCGUAAAGAGCUCGUAGGCGGUCUGUCGCGUCUGCUGUGAAAACUCAGGGCUUAACCCUGAGCUUGCAGUGGGUACGGGCAGACUAGAGUGCGGUAGGGGAGACUGGAAUUCCUGGUGUAGCGGUGAAAUGCGCAGAUAUCAGGAAGAACACCCGUGGCGAAGGCGGUUCUCUGGAACGCAACUGACGCUGAGACGCGAAAGCGUGGGGAGCAAACAGG
rnacentral:rRNA from 1 species